rnacentral:rRNA from 1 species
GACGAACGCUGGCGGCGUGCUUAACACAUGCAAGUCGAACGGAAAGGCCCUGCUUUUGUGGGGUGCUCGAGUGGCGAACGGGUGAGUAACACGUGAGUAACCUGCCCUUGACUUUGGGAUAACUUCAGGAAACUGGGGCUAAUACCGGAUAGGAGCUCCUGCUGCACGGUGGGGGGUGGAAAGUUUCGGCGGUAGGGGAUGGACUCGCGGCUUAUCAGCUUGUUGGUGGGGUAGUGGCUUACCAAGGCUUUGACGGGUAGCCGGCCUGAGAGGGUGACCGGCCACAUUGGGACUGAGAUACGGCCCAGACUCCUACGGGAGGCAGCAGUGGGAAAUAUUGCACAAUGAGCGGAAGCCUGAUGCAGCAACGCCGCGUGCGGGAUGACGGCCUUCGGGUUGUAAACCGCUUUCGCCUGUGACGAAGCGUGAGUGACGGUAAUGGGUAAAGAAGCACCGGCUAACUACGUG